CGGAAGGGCCUUUCAGGCAUCCUCUCCCAAAAAACUUCCAUAGGGCUGGUCCUCGGACCGGCCCUUUUUUUUCGUCAUG
rnacentral:sRNA from 1 species